AGCAGCCGCGGUAAUUCCAGCUCCAAUAGCGUAUAUUAAAGUUGUUGCAGUUAAAAGCUCGUAGUUGAAUUUCGGGGUCUGUCCAUCGGUCGGGCUUUUCGGUCCGCACUGUUGCGAUGGAUUCCUACCUUCUGAAUAACCGAUUUGCCAUUAAUUUGGUGGGUCGGGGAAGCGAGGACUGUUACCUUGAAAAAAUUGAGU
rnacentral:misc_RNA from 1 species